ensembl:snRNA U6 U6 spliceosomal RNA
GUGUUCACUGCAGUAGCACAUAUAAUAAAAUUGGAAUGAUACAAUAUUUGCAUGAACCCUCUACAAGGAUAACAGGCAAACCUGUGAAACAAACCAUAGUAAG